GCAUAUCAAUAAGCGGAGGAAAAGAAACCAACAGGGAUUGCCCUAGUAACGGCGAGUGAAGCGGCAACAGCUCAAAUUUGAAAUCUGGCGCAAGCCCGAGUUGUAAUUUGUAGAGGAUGUUUCUGGCGACGUGCCUUCCGAGUUCCCUGGAACGGGACGCCAUAGAGGGUGAGAGCCCCGUACGGUUGGAUGCCUAGCCUCUGUGAAACUCCUUCGACGAGUCGAGUAGUUUGGGAAUGCUGCUCUAAAUGGGAGGUAUACGUCUUCUAAAGCUAAAUACCGGCCAGAGACCGAUAGCGCACAAGUAGAGUGAUCGAAAGAUGAAAAGCACUUUGAAAAGAGGGUUAAAAAGUACGUGAAAUUGUUGAAAGGGAAGCGUUCAUGACCAGACUUGGGCAGGUUGAUCAUCCGUGGUUCUCCGCGGUGCACUCUGCCUGCCCAGGCCAGCAUCAGUUCGCCCCGGGGGAUAAAGGCUUUGGGAAUGUGGCUCCCUCGGGAGUGUUAUAGCCCACUGUGUAAUACCCUGGGGUGGACUGAGGUUCGCGCUCUGCAAGGAUGCUGGCGUAAUGGUCAUCAACGACCCGUCUUGAAACACGGACCAAGGAGUCGUCUUCGUAUGCGAGUGUUCGGGUGUCAAACCCCUACGCGUAAUGAAAGUGAACGUAGGAGAGAGCUUCGGCGCAUCUCCGACCGAUCCUGAUGUUCUCGGAUGGAUUUGAGUAAGAGCAUACGGGGCCGGACCCGAAAGAAGGUGAACUAUGCCUGUAUAGGGUGAAGCCAGAGGAAACUCUGGUGGAGGCUCGCAGCGGUUCUGACGUGCAAAUCGAUCGUCAAAUAUGGGCAUGGGGGGCGAAAGACUAAUCGAACCUUCUAGUAGCUGGUUUCCGCCGA
rnacentral:rRNA from 1 species